rnacentral:rRNA from 1 species
GGAUCCAGACUUUGAUUAUGGCUCAGGAUGAACGCUGGCGGCGCAUUUAAGACAUGCAAGUCGGACGAAAAUUUACGCUUAAAGAGUUGAUUAGUUUACUAAGAGAUGAUUUAUUGUAAAUUUUAGUGGCGGACUGGUGAGUAAUACAUAGGUAAUCUGCCUUUUAGAGGGGAAUAACUAGGAGAAAUCCUAGCUAAUACCGCGUAAGACCACACUUAGGCAUCUAAGAGAGGUCAAAGGAGUAAUCCGCUAAAAGAUGAGCCCGUGGCUGAUUAGUUAGUUGGUGGGGUAAGAGCCUACCAAGACGAUGAUCAGUAGCCGAGCUGAGAGGCUGGCCGGCCACAUUGGGACUGAGAUACGGCCCAGACUCCUACGGGAGGCAGCAGUUGGGAAUAUUGGACAAUGGAGGAAACUCUGAUCCAGUGACGCCGCGUGAAGGAAGAAGGUCUUCGGAUUGUAAACUUAUUUUAUCAGGGAAGAAGAAAGUGACAGUACCUGAAGAAAAAGGACCGGCAAACUACGUGCCAGCAGCCGCGGUAAUACGUAGGGUCCAAGCGUUAUCCGGAUUUACUGGGUGUAAAGGGCGAGUAGACGGCGCUGUAAGUCAGCUGUGAAAACUUAGGGCUCAACCUUAAGCCUGCAGCUGAAACUGUAGUGCUAGAGUGCAGGAGAGGUAAGCGGAAUUCCUAGUGUAGCGGUGAAAUGCGUAGAUAUUAGGAGGAACACCAGUGGCGAAGGCGGCUUACUGGACUGUAACUGACGUUGAGGCGCGAAAGUGUGGGGAGCAAACAGGAUUAGAUACCCUGGUAGUCCACACCGUAAACGAUGGAUACUAGGUGUAGGCGAGAUAUCGUCUGUGCCGGCGCAAACGCAAUAAGUAUCCCACCUGGGGAGUACGGCCGCAAGGUUGCAACUCAAAUGAAUUGACGG